rnacentral:rRNA from 1 species
UACGUAGGGUGCAAACGUUAAUCGGAAUUACUGGGCGUAAAGCGUGCGCAGGCGGUCGCGUAAGCCAGAUGUGAAAUCCCCGGGCUUAACCUGGGAACUGCAUUUGGUACUGCGUGGCUGGAGUGCGGCAGAGGAAGGUGGAAUUCCUGGUGUAGCAGUGAAAUGCGUAGAGAUCAGGAGGAACACCGAUGGCGAAGGCAGCCGUCUGGGCCAGCACUGACGCUCAUGCACGAAAGUGUGGGGAGCAAACAGG